ACUGGGCGUUGUGGGCGUGGGCCCUGUAAAUCCAGUUACUUGGAAGUCGGGGUGGUGGAUCCGUUGAGAGCCGGGAGUCCUGUAUGUCGUCGCUCUAUGGCGAUCUGGCGUCCAUGCUAAGCUCGGCAUCGAAUGGUUGAUGUCGAGGACCUGGCCAACCGGUCGUCUAAAGAGGGACGGUUAACUGGCCCCAGGGCGGCAAACGUUUUAUACAAGCAGGCAAAAGUCCCCGUGGGAGCAGUAUGGGAUACGCGCCCUGAUGAAUAGGCGCCGGUGCAGCCCCGUUCAACAUAGUGAGACCCAAUCAU
rnacentral:SRP_RNA from 1 species